rnacentral:ribozyme from 1 species
GACCAUUAACACAAACAGCCUUCUCGCGGCAAUGGUCGUAAGUAAUUUCUUCUGAUUCUAAUAUGAAUCGAAAGAAAUGAAACCAAUUGUUUG